UCCCUCCCCCCUGUCUGUCGAUAUCUCAGCCCGGAGAGGUUUGAAUUCAGUCUGUGGCUCCAGUCGCCGCCAUGCUGAGCUGAGAGAGACCGACAAACCAAACUUUGUCACGCUGCUGCUGUUUUAACGCUCACCUCGUCCUCGCGCACCGGAACAGAGACAGAAACGUCCUCGCGACCUGUGUUUGUGACCUGUGCCGUGGUUUUCCCGCUCGACCAUUUCCAGCUGUGUGACGACAAGUGAAAAGAAGAUUUAAUGAAUCAGUAUUCGCUAGCCGACGCCAUGACGGACAAAGGAAACUUCACGGUCCCGAAGUUAUCAGAGUCCAACAUGGGGUUCGGCGUACUGGGAGUCUUCCUGGGGCUGCUCUUGGAGGUGUCCACCCACGGACCCCACGCUGUGCCUCGAACAUCCUGGAGGCAUCAAGACUUGGAUCUGAUGGAGUUUUCUGAGCCUGGCAUCUACAACUACUCCACGUUACUGCUGAGUGAGAAACAAGACGCGCUGUAUGUGGGAGCCAGGGAGGCCAUCUUUGAGCUCAGCAAGAAGAAUGUGACCGUCAGAAACAACAAGGUUCUGUGGAGAGUUGCGGAUAACUCCAUGACAAUGUGCACGCAAAAAGGAAAAUCAAAAGAGAGGGAUUGUCUGAACUACAUUCGAGUGCUCCAAGUUGUAAAUGAUGAGCGGCUGUAUGUCUGUGGCACUCACGCCUUUCAGCCUCUGUGCGAUUACUUGAACCUCGCCGACUUUUCAUUGGACAGUCGACAUGAAGAUGGCAGAGGGAAGUGCUCCUUUGACCCCUCGCAGAGCUUUACCACAGUCAUGGUUGAUGGAGCGCUGUACUCGGGGACAGCUUAUAACUUCUUAGGCAGUGAACCGAUUAUUUCCAGAUACUCCCCGUCCCAGUCCCUGCUGAGGACGGAGUACUCCACAUCAUGGCUCAAUGAGCCCAGUUUUGUUUUUGCCGACGUGAUCAGAGAAGGCAACAACGGGGAUAGCGGCGAGGACGACAAAAUCUACUACUUCUUCACCGAGGUGUCGGUGGAGUACGAGUUCUUUGGCAAGCUGCUCAUCCCCAGGGUGGCGCGCGUCUGUAAGGGCGACCUCGGAGGGCAGCGCACCCUGCAGAAGAAAUGGACAACCUUUCUGAAAGCCAAGCUGGUGUGCUCCAUGCCCGAGCUCAACUUCGUUUUCAACGUAGUGCACGAUGUGUUCAUCCUGAAGGCGGACGACAGGAAAGACACGGUCAUCUACGCCGUCUUCACCUCUCAGUGGGGAAAUGUGGGUUUGUCAGCUGUGUGCGCCUACAGCAUCGAGGCGGUGGAGGAGGUUUUCGCCAACGGAAAGUACAUGCAGAAGGUGACGGUGGAGCAGUCGCAUACAAAGUGGGUGCGGUACAACGGCGUGCCUCCGACUCCUCGCGCUGGAGCUUGCAUCAACAACGCGUUGAGGCAGCAGAACAUCAACACGUCGCUCCAAAUGCCCGACAAACCCCUGCAGUUUGUGAAGGACCACCCCCUGCUGGAGGAUCCCGUCCUGCCCAUCGGCAACGGACCCCGCCUCAUCACCAAAGACGUCAACUACACGCAGAUCGUGGUGGAAAGGGUCCGAGCACUCGACGGGAACAUUUACGACGUCAUCUUCACCGGGACAGAUAAGGGCGUCUUGCACAAGUCGGUGCUGUUUGAAGGAGAUGUUCAUAUGGUGGAGGAGAUCCAGCUGCUGAAGAACUCGGAGCCCAUCAAAAACUUACUGCUGUCCUCUGAGACCAGGUCUUUGUACGCUGGUUCCGACUCUGGUGUGGUCCAGUCCCCUACAUCUUUCUGUGGGAAGUACUCCACCUGCUUUGACUGUAUCCUGGCACGGGACCCUUACUGCGCCUGGGACCGCCGCACCUCCACCUGCCUCAGUAUCCUGGAUACUCCAAACCAAAAUCCUAGGAACCUAAUCCAGAGUCUGAAUGGUGACGCAGACGUUUGUCCUUCAGUGUCAGGUCGGUUUCUGAAAGACUACCAGCGUGUGACGGUCAAACCGGGGAGCUCCGCUGAGCUGCCGUGCCUGGUUCAAUCCAACCUGGCUCAGGUGUUGUGGAAGUCCAACGGCUCACUUCUCACCGAAGCCUCUCGCUUCCACUUCAUGGCCGAAACCGGGCUGCUCAUCUACAGCGUGGCCCCGGAGGAUCAGGGUUACUACGAGUGCUGGUCCGUGGAGUGGGCUCCGGGCGCCAAGAAGAACUUCAGCCGCCUCCUGGGUGGAUACGUCCUGGCUUUGGAUCUUCCGCCGGCGCCCACGCACCAGGCGGGCGACGUGGCCACCACCCUCAGCAAGCAGGAGAUGCCCAGUUUUCACGAUGUAGAAGAUGAAGGUAAUGCCUCCUCUCCUGUCGACACUUCAUCCUCCCGCUCUGCCCUUUCUUCUUCCUCUUCUUCUUCUUCUUCCACAUCCUCCUCCUCCACCACCACCACCAAGCACCACAGUGUGGAGGCUCGGGAGGCGGGGGUGAGACUGUUGCCUCCCCUGCUCAAAGACCAGGCCUUGGGGGUUCAUGCUCAGGGGGCUUUCCUGCUCUUCUGCCUCGCCCUGGGUCCCAGUGACGUCCACAUUCACUGGCUAUUAAACGGGCACAUCGUGGACACCCCCAUAACGGAGUACCGCCGGCCGCUGGGUCAGAAGGAGGUGCUCGUGAGCAGCCUGCUCCGCGAGGGGCCGCUGAUCAAGGACGCCCGUUACAAAUGUGUCGCCGAGGCCAGCACAGGAAAAGACACGUCAGAGGUCGACCUCCACCUCACUAUUGGAGAUGACGAGAACAUUCCAUCCAGGGAUUUGAACCAGUGGAGAGGUGCUCUCACAGAGCACGAGCAGCUGCUAAAAAGAUGGGAAAAGGCCUGGGUAUGUUAAGUUCUUGGGAGUGUAUUAUUGUGCAGUGGCCUUGGAUUGACUCGCUGUGUGGCGUGUGCACCACUUUUAACCCGCUCUGCAUGUUUGGCUUCAGGAAAGCUGUGAAGACCACAGAGCUGUGUGAAGGCGUCUAUUUAAUCUGGUUGUGAACGCGGUCCUUAGUUCAGACGGACCACACCUCUUGACACUGAAACUAUCACAAACAGAUGGAAUAAUAAUGUCCCAGUGUCACCUCUUAAUGGGAGUUUGAUGGACCACGAAGCAGAGAAUUGCCUCCUGCAGGGCCUCACCUGGUUGUGAUGAAGAUGAUGAUGAUGGUGGGACUCCUACCGAACCCUGCACGGAGAUGAAGCCUCAUCGGUUUACCUCAGCGUGAGGACGUGCGGGCUGCCUUUCUGUCAGAAAUGCAUUUAUUUGUAUUUUUAUCGAUGAAAACAAAGGUCCUGAACGCAGUCUUUGUAUGGAACAAUAAAUCUGUCGGUAUAUAUGAGGGAUGUUGAUCAGUUCCUGUACGUGACGCGGCGCAUGUGGCAGUUCAGUCUGUUUAUAGAGUGAUUAUUCUUUUGCACCUUCAAAAUGCUCCGUUUGGUCCUUCACAGCUACUUUCCGGUUUGACAUUUUCACUUAUCUUUAGUGGACACCUUUUCCCGCCACAGCUUCCAAGCUUAUUUAGAUUUGAUAACAGAAACAGAGCUACCAUUUGACAUUUAGCAGUAUUUCACCAACACAAAUGAAGAUCGGGUAGAAAAUGCAGCAUCCACGUGGAAUUUACUCCAAGUAUGGCACAAAUUGAACUGUUACAAGCUUGAUCCUUUCUGUCUGCCGUUAUUUUCUUCACAUUAAAACUACUUGACUUUAAA